UACGUAGGGUGCAAGCGUUGUCCGGAAUUAUUGGGCGUAAAGAGCCCGUAGGCGGUUUGUUGCGUCGGCUGUGAAAUCCCGAGGCUCAACCUCGGGUCUGCAGUCGAUACGAGCAAACUAGAGUGUUGCAGGGGAGACUGGAAUUCCUGGUGUAGCGGUGAAAUGCGCAGAUAUCAGGAGGAACACCGGUGGCGAAGGCGGGUCUCUGGGCCGUAACUGACGCUGAGGAGCGGAAAGCCAUGGGUAGCGAACAGG
rnacentral:rRNA from 1 species